rnacentral:rRNA from 1 species
AUUGAACGCUGGCGGCAUGCCUUACACAUGCAAGUCGAACGGUAACAGGUCUUCGGAUGCUGACGAGUGGCGAACGGGUGAGUAAUACAUCGGAACGUGCCUAGUAGUGGGGGAUAACUACUCGAAAGAGUGGCUAAUACCGCAUGAGAUCUACGGAUGAAAGCAGGGGAUCGCAAGACCUUGUGCUACUAGAGCGGCCGAUGGCAGAUUAGGUAGUUGGUGGGAUAAAAGCUUACCAAGCCGACGAUCUGUAGCUGGUCUGAGAGGACGAUCAGCCACACUGGGACUGAGACACGGCCCAGACGCCUACGGGAGGCAGGAGUGGGGAAUUUUGGACAAUGGGCGCAAGCCUGAUCCAGCAAUGCCGCGUGCAGGAUGAAGGCCUUCGGGUUGUAAACUGCUUUUGUACGGAACGAAAAGCCCUGGGUUAAUACCCUGGGGUCAUGACGGUACCGUAAGAAUAAGCACCGGCUAACUACGUGCCAGCCGCCGCCGUAA